AGCUUUGCACAGUGGCAGUAUCGUAGCCAGUGAGGUUAAUCUGAGGCGCGAUUAUUGCUAAUUGAAUAAAAUCACGAAUGAAAAUGGAGACAUCACAACCAACACUACAAAAUAAAAACAAUUAUGAGAUUAUGAAAAAUUAU